rnacentral:tRNA from 1 species
GCCGGGAUGGCGGAAUUGGUAGACGCACCUGAUUUAGGUUCAGGCACCGCAAGGCGUGCAGGUUCGAGUCCUGUUCCCGGCA